ensembl:lncRNA
AUUCCGGAUGUGCUGUGGUUCUGGCCGCAGGCUCAAGCAAAUCCCUCCUCCCGCCCCCUGACCCUGGACCGCUGUCCCCAGCCCGAAGCACAGGUGUGGACCCCUGCGCCGAGCCUGCAAGGUUCUAGUCUCCACGUCUGGGCACCUCCCAAGCGCGGGUCCGCGCAAAGGCCUAAUAACCAGGUAAAAGGUGUUAAGAUGAUUGGAAUGCAGAAAUUUCUACCAGAAACAAUCCUUUACAUGCUGGGUUUUCAAGAAAACCACACAAAAGCAAUUCAUUUAUCUAAGGCAGCUGACCUCCACUGAGUUCGCCACGUCCUUUGUACUCCCGUGACUCCUUGACAGCGGCAGUAGCAGUGAGUACUAAAACAUGCCGGGAAGUCGUUUCUUAACCUAGAAAAUCAUUUCAGCAGCAAAGUUCAAAUUUUCUGCCAAUAAGGUAGGAGAGUGGUUCUCAACUGGGGACGAGUUUGCCCCCUAGGGGACAUUUGGCAAAGUCUGGAGAUGGUUUUGACUGUCACGGCCUGGGGAGGAGGAGGGGGAAAGGUUGAGAUGGCUGGACGUGCUGCCUGCAUCUGUCUACUGGGAAGAAGCCAAGGAUGGUACCCAGCUCUCCACAGUGCAAGGCACAAUGAAGACUUACCAAGCCCCAAAUGUCAAUAGUGCUGAGACCAAGAGAGCCUGGCUUCUGAAUCUUGUUCUAAAUAGUAAAGCAAAGGAAAACCACUGAGAGAGUCUGAACUUGACCUACUGGAUCUUGAUCUUUCUCAAAGGUGAGAAUGCAGUAACCCAAGAGGAACUCAACUUAAAUAUAAAAGAAAGGGAAACAUUUGUCCUUUGGAGUUCCUUUGGGCUCCAUAUCUCAUUAAGAUAUACAAGUGCAGGAGUUCCCAUCAUGGCUCAGUGGUAAUGGACCCAACUAGUAUCCAUGAGGAUGCAGGUUGGAUCCAUGGCCUCGCUCAGUGGGUUAAGGACGCGGCAUUGCUAUGAGCUGUGGUGUGAGUUGCAGACUCGGCUCAGAUCUGGCAUUUCUGUGGCCGUGGCGUAGGCUGGCAGCUUUAGCUCUGAUUCCACCCCAAGCCUAGGAACUUCCAUAUGCUGCAGGUGUGGCCCUAAAAAGCAAAAAA